GAUGAACGCUGGCGGCGUGCUUAACACAUGCCAGUCGAACGGUAACGGCGGAGCUUGCUCUGCUGGAUCAGUGGCGAACGGGUGAGUAACACGUGAGCAAUCUGCCCCUGACUCUGGGAUAAGCGCUGGAAACGGCGUCUAAUACUGGAUACGAGCUGCGAAGGCAUCUUCAGCAGCUGGAAAGAACUUCGGUCAGGGAUGAGCUCGCGGCCUAUCAGCUUGUUGGUGAGGUAACGGCUGACCAAGGCAUCGACGGGUAGCCGGCCUGAGAGGGUGACCGGCCCCACUGGGACUGAGACACGGACCAGAGGGCAACGGGAGGCAACAGGGGGGAAUAUUGCACAAUGGGGCAAAGCCUGGUGCGACAACGCCGGGGUAGGGAAGACGGCCUUCGGGGUGUGAAACGCUUUUAGCAAGGAAGAAGGGAAAAUGACGGUACCUGAAGAAAAAGCGCCGGCUAACUACGUG
rnacentral:rRNA from 1 species